ACCCGCUGAACUUAAGCAUAUCAAUAAGCGGAGGAAAAGAAACCAACAGGGAUUGCCCUAGUAACGGCGAGUGAAGCGGCAACAGCUCAAAUUUGAAAGCUGGCCUUCGGGUCCGCAUUGUAAUUUGCAGAGGAUGCUUUGGGGAAGCCGCCUGUCUAAGUUCCUUGGAACAGGACGUCAUAGAGGGUGAGAAUCCCGUAUGUGACAGGAAAUGGCACCCCAUGUAAAGCUCCUUCGACGAGUCGAGUUGUUUGGGAAUGCAGCUCUAAAUGGGAGGUAAAUUUCUUCUAAAGCUAAAUACCGGCGAGAGACCGAUAGCGCACAAGUAGAGUGAUCGAAAGAUGAAAAGCACUUUGGAAAGAGAGUUAAAAAGCACGUGAAAUUGUUGAAAGGGAAGCGCUUGCAAUCAGACUUGUCCCUGACUGUUCGGCCGGUCUUCUGACCGGUUUACUCAGUCUGGGACAGGCCAGCAUCGGUUUCGGCGGUCGGAUAAAGGCCCUGGGAAUGUGGCUCUGCCUUCGGGGAGAGUGUUAUAGCCCAGGGUGUAAUACGGCCAGCCGGGACCGAGGUCCGCGAUUCGUCUAGGAUGCUGGCGUAAUGGUUGU
rnacentral:rRNA from 1 species